UUUGAAAUAAACAAAUAAACAUUGCCCAAGAGAAAAAGUCAAAACGAUAACGAAUACGUACAACAGUACUUGUAGAUAAGAAAUGAAUAAUAUAAACCUGACAUAAGUUAUACAUUUAUAAUGUAAAAAAAUUGUGAAGAUAUGAACGUCACACGUUAUUCGUUUUUUCAUUUGUCAAAGUUGUGAGAACUCUAGUACUUUAGAGAAAUAUGGAUUUAUGGGUUUUGCUGUUGCGACCAAUAGUGUUAUGGGCGUGGCUUACUGGGCAGCGUCGAAUCAUAUAAUCGGAUUUUACCUACCAGUUACCGUGAUCCUUCAAUUUCAGAGAUGGCGUUCAAAAUAAAACCUACGUGUAAUACAAAACUUUUAUCAUUUAGUGUUUAAAAUGAAAAUAAUAUCAAGUCUUACAUGGCUGAGUAGGAUUAGGGACAAACAUGUGUCACGGACUUGCGUCUCUGUCGCUUACGAGUUAGUAAUACAGUAGGUUGAAUUGAUUUUUUCCAGAAAUCAUUGUGAUUGCCAAUAUAAUUAUGUCUAUCAAAUAUUAAAAUCUAAUAAUAUAGUAUAAAAGUGUCAGUAGGUACCUACCUACCCAUGAAUAAUAUUUUUAAAUUACAACAA